rnacentral:rRNA from 1 species
AGUGAACGCUGGCGGUAGGCCUAACACAUGCAAGUCGAACGGCAGCACAGUAAGAGCUUGCUCUUACGGGUGGCGAGUGGCGGACGGGUGAGGAAUACAUCGGAAUCUACUUUUUCGUGGGGGAUAACGUAGGGAAACUUACGCUAAUACCGCAUACGACCUACGGGUGAAAGCAGGGGAUCUUCGGACCUUGCGCGAUUGAAUGAGCCGAUGUCGGGUUAGAUGGUUGGCGGGGUAAAGGCCCACCAAGGCGACGAUCCUUAGCUGGUCGGAGAGGGUGAUCAGCCACACGGGAACGGAGACACGGUCCAGACUCCUGCGGGAGGCAGCAGUGGGGAAUAUUGGACAAUGGGCGCAAGCCUGAUCCAGCCAUACCGCGUGGGUGAAGAAGGCCUUCGGGUUGUAAAGCCCUUUUGUUGGGAAAGAAAAGCAGCAGGUUAAUACCCCGCUGUUCUGACGGUACCCAAAGAAUAAGCACCGGCUAACUUCGUG